rnacentral:sRNA from 1 species
AAAGUAUUAAUCAAACUUCCUAUUAUUACUCUCCUCUAUCCUUUAUCCACUCUAUCUUCUUCUUCUUCUUCAUCCGAUUCUAUCUCUUUCUGUUCUUAAUCUUCUUGAUAGGUUCACCACUUAUCACUCGACUUCCUUGUAGAGUGGUGUGAUCGAGUGAUGGUCAAGUGUGGAGGUGAUGAUACUCGACCAGGUGGUAGAGUGAUCGAGUGAAGGUGAUGAAGGUAGUCGACCAUGUGGUAGAGUAGUGUGAUCGAGUGAUGGUCAGGUGGUGGAGGUUAUGAGACUCGACCAGGGGGUCGAGUGGUGAGGUGAAGUGGUGAAGUCCUCUACUCGACCAGGGGGUCGAGUGGUCUGUUGAGGUCGUGAAGCAUCUACUCGACCUGGGGGUCGAGUGGUUUGACAUGAUCAGGAACGCUUCUUCCAAUUAGCUCGUCAACAGCUCCAAAUCACCUGAAAACAACACAAAUAUGCAACAUGCAUGCAAAACUAUCCUAAACAUGCAAAGUGAUGACAAAUGAUAUAAAACAAUGAUGAUAUGAUGAUAAAGUGAUGACAAAUGGAUGCUCAAAACAGGCAAAAUGCACACUUAUCAACUCCCCCAAACUUAGUCUUUGCUUGCCCUCAAGCAAACAAUUAAGAACAAGUAGGAGGUGAGAGUUGAAGGCGGGGACUUUGAGCCAAAGCACCAGAUAAAUCAGAUGAAAUCAAUGUCCAAGUUGAUAGUUCUAAGCUGCGAUAUGAUUGAAUUCUACUCAAAAACGUUAGCUAUGCCUUGUUAUCAAUCAAUCCGACUCUUAUGCUCAGCCUACACAUGUUUUCAAAUCUACCAAUCCCUUUAACAUUCAUUAGUUAUGGAACGUGAAUCAAGCAAUGCAUCUAUCAAUGAACUCAUUUGGCUAAGGUAAAGGUCAAGUGACAAAGAUGGCCCCUUACAGAAUAGGCUUCAGCAAAAGGGGAUCUCUCAAAAAAUGAUUAAGCUUUAGUAGAAUGCUAAAGGUAAGUCCCAAGCUAUGCAUACAGAGAUAAGAUCCCAUCUACCAAGAGUAUAACCAAUGAAGCUCUAAUGGUAAUCCCAUCUCCAAUCCCAAUAUAAGAACUUAACUCUACCCUUUGCAUUCAUGAAUCUUUUAACCCCUUUUUCUAAUCAUUCUUUUCUUUUCUCUUAACUCUAGGAGAAGCUUUCUCAACACUCUGAUACAUCUAGCGGAUUUGUAUUUCUUUAACAACUAAGGAUCCUCUUUUCAAUUUUUAAAACCGAGGACUUUUGCCCUUCUUCAUUAGCUGACAAGAACCCUUUUCUUUUCUUUACAAAUCCCAAAACCUUUACUAGACUUUUUCUACUUCUUUAGCUUACUUCACCUAGAGCCUUUUACCUUUUCUCAUCAAUGAAUCAACUCUUUUGU